CCCAUAGCAACAGGGAAGGAGUUCUGAUAAGAGGGAAACUGUAGCAUCUUGGCCUCCACCUCCAAGUCCACCCAGGUUAUUUAUAACCACGCCGAGCACAUGGCCACUUCCUUGUGUCUGCGUAUUUAACAUCGCCAGCCGUCAUUUCGGAGGGGCACUGUUAAUUAACUUGGGAGAGGGAGGGGAUCACCCAGGAAGGAGGACUUUCUAGAAACACUCCCGUGGGAAGCGUUUCCCGAACUGUGGAAUGCAGGGGCAUGGCCCUGCUGUGGGAAGGCAGGCCUAUGGUCAGCGGUCUCUCACUGUGGAGCCAGGCAGGCAGGGCCUAGCACAGGCAGGAGGGUUUCAAACACAGUCUACCUGCCUGGCACCCAGAGGGAGCUGCAUACCACCAUUCUUGCCACGAAAGACUGGAUUUCAGGGUUUUGGAUCAAUGAGCCACCAGUAGGAACUGGAGGAAUCAAUACCUGGCCCCUGAGAGACAGCCCUCGGUGAUGGCCGACCAUAAGACUGUAUGCUACAACAAAUCCUUUCUCCCCAAAGCUGCAUCUGGCUACAGCACCUUAUCCCAGGGAUAGACAUGAAACCAGGAUUCCCAGAAGAGGUGUCUGAGACCAGCAGGUGCUCACUGAACAACAUCUCUUCCAGGAAGAAGAGAAUGAAGACUGCUUCUAGGAAGCGACAUCUCCAUCAGAAGACAUAAGGUCAGG
rnacentral:lncRNA from 1 species